CGGCGCGUAGCGCAGCCCGGGUAGCGCACCACUUUGGGGUAGUGGGGGUCGCUGGUUCGAAUCCAGUCGCGCCGA
rnacentral:tRNA from 1 species